GACGAACGCUGGCGGCGUGCUUAACACAUGCAAGUCGAGCGGAGCGGCGAACGGGUGAGUGACGCGUGAUUAACUGCCCCCCUCUCUGGGAUAACCGUUGGACACGGCUGCUAAUACCGGCUAGUGGGGGAUGACUCGCGUCCUAUCAGCUUGUUGGUGGGGUAGUGGCCUCCCAAGGCGACGACGGGUAGCCGGCCUGGGAGGGCGACCGGCCACAUUUGGCUGAGAUACGGCCCAAACGCCGACGGGCGGCCGCAGUGGGGAAUAGUGCACAAUGGGGGAAACCUUGAUGCAGCAACGCCGCGUGCGGGAUGACUGCCUUCGGGUGGUAAACCGCUUUCAGCCAGUACGCGGUAGGGGCAGAAGAAGCACCGGCUAACUACGUGCCAGCAGCCGCGGUAAUAC
rnacentral:rRNA from 1 species